GGGGCUGUCAUGGUAUCGACAGGUUUAUGUUUGAUUUGGGCUGCAGUGGAGCGGUGACCUAAUCACCAUUAAAUUUAAACGCAAACAACAAUAGAGGCUACGCGUUCGCCUAAUAGAACGCCCCGCUGCUUACUAUAGCGCUUGACGCGCUGCGGCGAUCCGAUCUCUGUACUUUCUGUCGACAGUGAUUGUGUAUUCAGACAGAUAAGGUGAACCCGAAGCAUGUAGGAGGAUCCCGACAAUUCACAUGCAGAUUCAGUUACCGGUUCGCUCAUUGUCAUGGUAACUGUCUUAUCCAACAGUGAGAUAAACUGUAGGCGCCUGAAUGUGGGACUAUUCUUGGACACGGGUUCGACUCCCGUCAGCUCCACU
rnacentral:tmRNA from 1 species